AUCCUUACUUUGGCAGAAUGUAUACUAAAAUUGGAGGAAUAGAGAAGGUUAACAUAGCACACUGAGCAGGAAUGAUAUGCAAAUUCAUGAGACAUUUGUAUUCUUU
rnacentral:snRNA from 1 species